rnacentral:lncRNA from 1 species
ACAUAUCAAAGGGUGCAGUUUAAUGAAUCUUCUCAUGGUUGUGGAGUUCGUGAUUGCGAAUUUGAGUGCUUGUGGACAGCGGCAUGACUUUUAUGUUGAAUGUGGUGUAUCCUUCCUUUUUUUUGUUCUUCUUUUACUGCAAAUGAGAAGUGACAUUUUCAUAAUUGCCAUAGGGAAUUUGAAUUGGAUUUUAGCUUCAUUUAAGCAUCAAUGGCUUUCGAGUUCAUAAAUAGGUUUGUCUAAUAAUGCUUAAUUUGGCCUUUGAACUAUGCUUCUUAUCCUAUUUUGGUAGGGUACAUAAACUAUUGGAGUAGUGAUAAGAAAAUUGGUUAUGUGGUGCGAAUAAGAAUUUGCUAUGUGGCAUCUUUCUUGUAAUUUUUAGAAAAAUUAAUUUCUUUUUUGCAAUUUUUUAAAAGUUAAAUACUUUUUUGAAAAUUUUAAUUAAGUUUUCAAUUUUUAUACAGUUUUUUAUAGUAGUUUUCUGGAUUCUCUGGUCCCCGACACUGGUGGUAAGAUCAUAUCUUUUGUUGAGAAGAAUGUUUACUUUGUUACUUGAAGGAUAAAUAUCUCAGUAGUCUCCUUUAUUUCCCAAUAAGACCAAUAACUUGAAAAAAAAAAAACCUUGUAUUUCCCUUUCCUUUUUGCUUUCAUUCUCUCUGUAAUCUAUCUUCUAAUUUCGAGUCUUGAAUUUUCUUCGCCCUUUUUUGCUUUUAAAGUACACCAGUACCUGUUAAGAAAUGGCUUAAAAUUGGUAGUGGAUUGUUGUUGUUGGUAGUGGAUUGUUGUUGUUGGUAGUGGGUUGUUGGUGGUAGUGGAUUAGUGGAUGGUUGUUGGUGUCCAUUUUCAACCACAAAUCUUUGCCAAAGUUUUGGACAAUUAUGUCCUUGAACUCUCUUAUAAAUAGAGAGGUUCAUUAGCCAUAUUCAUCAUCCCAAACCAAGAGAGAGCAAAGCUUGUUCUCUGAAAGCUAGGAUUUUAGCUUUCGGGUUUUCUAUAGGGGUUGAGAGUUGUGAGGUUCUCGGGUUGUGUCUUGAGUGUAAAACACUUGUAAUCUUCAUCUUGUUAUAGUGAAAUUUCUUUUCGCCUCUGCCCGUGGACGUAGGCAUUAAAGCCGAACCACGUAAAUCCUUGUGUUCACUUUAUUUUUCGUUUCGGUCAAUUUACUUGUAGUCAUAUCGGAGUUCUCGAAUCGAUCCUUUCCUCAACAAAUUGGUAUCAGAGCGUAGUUGAAGGAGUGAUAAUAUUUUCUGAAUUGCCCUGUGACUGCAGCUUUGUCUGAUCUUUCACAUCAGGAAGAAAAUAUUAUCAUUCAUUCAAAGGUUCCAAAUUAUGGCUACAAGUGUUUCAUCGACUAAGUAUGAUGUCGAGAAAUUUACCGGGAAAAAUAGUUUCAGUUUAUGGCGCAUCAAGAUGCGGGCAGUGCUGGUUCAACAAGGAUUGCUAAAAGCAUUGUCUGGUAAAGAUAAAUUACCAAGCACGCUUUCGGAAGAGCAAAAGGAUGACAUGCUAGAAAGAGCACAUAGUGCUAUUCUGCUAUGUCUAGGAGAUGAAGUGCUACGAGAAGUAGCGGAUGAGAAAACCGCGUCCGGUUUGUGGCUCCGGUUAGAGAGCAAGUACAUGACGAAGUCAUUGACGAACCGGCUCUACCUCAAGCAAAGACUCUAUGCCCUGAAGAUGGAGGAAGGUACACCUGUUUCCCAGCACCUGGAUAAAUUCAAUUCCAUUAUCAUGGAUUUGAAUAAUAUCGAUAACAAAAUCGAUGAUGAGGACCAAGCAAUAAUUGUUUUGUGUUCUUUGCCUCCCUCGUAUGAGAAUUUUGUUGAUACAAUGAUGUACGGUCGUGAUGACCUGACUCUAGAGGAGGUGAAAAAUGCCUUAAGUUCCAGUGAGUUGAGGAAGAAAAUCACUGGUAAGGUGGUCGAAAACAAUGAAGGCGAAGGCUUGGUUGCUCGAGGAAGAUCCAAGGCAAAGGGUGGAAGUUCAAGUAAAAGCCAUCCUAGAUCGCAGUCCAAGAAGAGAAUACAGUGCUACUACUGUAAGAAGUACGGGCACAUGAAGGUAGAUUGUCUGAAAAGGAAGGAGAAAUCAGAAUCACAGGAGCAACAAAAUGAUCGUGCGAAUGUAGCUGAUGCAGAUUCUUCAAGUGAUGCCGAGAUCGUUCUUGCAGUAUCUGACUCUUACGCUGGUGGGAGAUGGAUUCUUGAUACGGGAGCUACAUUUCAUAUAAGUACUUCGAAAGAUGCAUUCUCAACAUACGAGAAGCAUUCUGGUUCAGUACUAAUGGGAAAUGACCACGCAUGUCAAGUCAUGGGGAUUGGCACAGUUCGUAUAAAGAUGUUUGACGGUAUUGUUAGAACUCUAACUGAUGUUCGGCACAUUCCAGAAAUGAAGAAAAAUUUGAUCUCUUUGAGUACGUUGGACAAGAAAGGCUUUCGGUACUCUGCUGAAGGUGGAGUUCUCAAGGUAUUCUCGGGUGCUUUGACUGUGAUACGUGGUAAUUUGGAGCGGGGCCUUUACUUCCUCGAUGGUUCCUCGGUUACAGGUGUUGCCGGAGUGUCAUCAUCAGAUGAUCUAGAUUCUGACACCACGAAGUUAUGGCAUAUGCGGCUCGGGCAUAUGAGCGAGAGAGGCUUAUCGGUGCUAAGCAAACGAGGAUUAUUGUCUGGGCAGUGUACAGGAAAGUUGAAUUUCUGUGAGCACUGCGUCUUCGGUAAGCAGACUCGGGUAAAGUUCAGCACUGGGAUUCACAAGACAAAAGGCACAGUGGAUUACUUCCAUUCUGACCUUUGGGGGCCUUCUCCGACAAUUUCUAAAGGUGGUUACAGAUAUCUGCUUACCUUUAUCGAUGAUUACUCGAGAAAGGUUUGGGUGUAUUUUCUGAAGAGCAAGUAUGAGGUUCUCAUCAACUUCAAGCAAUUUAAAGCUUUGAUCGAAAAUCAAACAGGAAAGAAGAUCAAGCGAUUCCGGACGGAUAAUGGCUUGGAGUUUUGCUCAGGUGAAUUCAAUGAGUUCUGCAAAAAUGAAGGAAUAGUGAGACACCGCACUGUUCGUCGAACACCACAACAAAAUGGAGUUGCAGAACGCAUGAAUAGAACUCUCUUGGAGCGAGCUCGUUGCAUGCGAUCAAAUGCUGGGCUCGGUGAAGAAUUUUGGGCUGAAGCUGUUAAUACUGCUUGUUAUUUGGUUAACAGAUCUCCGUCAACAGCUAUUGAGCUGAAGACUCCUGAGGAAGUAUGGUCUGGUUCUCCUGCUGAUUACUCUGGUUUAAGAGUGUUUGGCUGCCCUGCGUAUGCUCAUGUAAAUGAGGGAAAACUCAAACCGAGGGCGAAGAAAUGCAUAUUUCUUGGAUACGGCCAAGGGGUGAAAGGAUACAGGUUGUGGUGUCCUGAUCCGGUUUCGUCCAAGUUCAUCAUCAGCAGAGAUGUGACUUUUGAUGAGUCAUCCAUGCUUCGAUCCACCACAAAUUCCCGGGAAAAGGAGGAGUCAGAUAGAAUGGGAGAUCACGGUGUUGAGAAGCAGGUGGAGUGUCAGGUGGACGCUCCAAUUCCUACGGAAGGUACUUCAGUCCAGGAUGAUCAAGUUGAGGUGCAAGAUUCCGAUGAAGAUGAGUCACCUCAAGAAAAACCAUAUAGCAUUGCCACUGGAAGAACGAAGAGACAAAUCAAACCAAAUCCGCGUUACGCUAAUCUGGUGUCUUUCGCGCUCAGUGUGGCGGAGUCCAUUGGUAUAGAACCUUCCAGUUAUAAUGAGGCUGUCACGUGUGAUGAGUCGGCACAGUGGGCAAUUGCUAUGAGUGAGGAGAUAGAAUCUCUUCACAAGAACCAUACUUGGGAGUUGGUUAAGCCGCCAAGUAACCAGAAGAUAGUUGGUUGCAAAUGGGUCUUCAAGAAAAAGGAAGGCAUCCUAGGGGUUGAAGCAACUAGAUUCAAGGCACGAUUGGUUGCUAAAGGCUUCACUCAGAAAGAGGGGAUUGACUACAAUGAAGUUUUCUCCCCAGUCGUAAAGCAUUCUUCCAUUCGUGUAUUACUUGCCAUGGUGGCCAAGUCUGAUCUAGAACUUGAGCAGCUUGACGUAAAAACGGCGUUCUUGCAUGGUGAGCUCGAGGAAACAAUCUACAUGCGUCAACCAGAGGGUUUUACAAUUCCUGGUAAAGAAGACCAUGUCUGUCUAUUAAAGAAGUCUUUAUAUGGAUUGAAACAAUCCCCAAGGCAGUGGUACAAGCGGUUUGAUAGCUUCAUGAUUCAGCAUGGUUACACAAGAUGUGACUAUGAUGCUUGUGUCUAUCAUCGGAAGCUCUCAGAUGGUUCGCACAUUUAUUUGUUGCUGUAUGUUGAUGACAUGUUAAUUGCUUCCAAAAACAUGUCGGAAAUCAACAAGUUAAAGUCGCAGUUGAGUGGUGAGUUCGAGAUGAAGGAUCUGGGUGCUGCCAAGAAAAUUUUGGGCAUGGAUAUUCACAGAGAUCGCAAGGCGGGCAAGCUUCGUGUGUCGCAGAAGAACUACAUUGAAAAGGUUCUUCAACACUUCGGCAUGGAUAAAGCGAAAACUGUGAGUACUCCGUUGGCACCACAUUUCAAACUCUCUGCAGAGUUGUCACCACAAUCUGAUGAAGAAAAGCAGCAAAUGUCUCACAUUCCAUACUCGAGUGCAGUUGGAAGCGUGAUGUAUGCAAUGGUUUGCACUCGUCCAGACAUUUCACAUGCAGUUAGUGUGGUCAGCAGAUACAUGAGUUGUCCUGGCAAGGAACACUGGCAGGCCGUGAAAUGGAUUCUCAGGUACUUGAGAGGUUCUGCAGAUUUAUGCUUGGUAUAUGAUCAGAGUGACUGCACUAGCAGUGUCACGGGCUAUGUGGACUCUGAUUAUGCUGGAGAUCUGGACAAAAGAAGAUCUCUGACGGGUUAUGUUUUCACUUAUUCUGGAGGAGCCAUUAGUUGGAAAGCUGUGUUACAGUCUACCGUAGCCUUAUCUACGACUGAGGCGGAAUAUAUGGCGUUAGCAGAAGCAGUGAAAGAAGCAUUGUGGAUGAAAGGUCUAGUAAGCAGUUUGGGUUUACAACAGGAUUUCACUGUUGUAUUUUGCGAUAGCCAGAGUGCCAUACAUCUGACUAAAAAUCAGAUGUUUCAUGAACGGACCAAACACAUUGAUGUCAGAUAUCAUUUUGUUCGGGAACAUGUUACGCAAGGUGACAUUGUUAUCAGCAAGGUUGCUACCGAGAAGAAUCCUGCAGAUAUGUUAACUAAGGUGAUCCCUGCAUAUAAGUUCAAGCAUUGCUUGGACUUGAUAGGUAUUCGGGAUUGAUUAGCGCCAGAGAGGCGUUUGGAAGAGGUGAUCCAGUUCGAGGAAUUCACUAUGAUGUUCAGCUUGGUAAAUUUCAAGCCAAGGUGGAGAUUUGUUAAGAAAUGGCUUAAAAUUGGUAGUGGAUUGUUGUUGUUGGUAGUGGAUUGUUGUUGUUGGUAGUGGGUUGUUGGUGGUAGUGGAUUAGUGGAUGGUUGUUGGUGUCCAUUUUCAACCACAAAUCUUUGCCAAAGUUUUGGACAAUUAUGUCCUUGAACUCUCUUAUAAAUAGAGAGGUUCAUUAGCCAUAUUCAUCAUCCCAAACCAAGAGAGAGCAAAGCUUGUUCUCUGAAAGCUAGGAUUUUAGCUUUCGGGUUUUCUAUAGGGGUUGAGAGUUGUGAGGUUCUCGGGUUGUGUCUUGAGUGUAAAACACUUGUAAUCUUCAUCUUGUUAUAGUGAAAUUUCUUUUCGCCUCUGCCCGUGGACGUAGGCAUUAAAGCCGAACCACGUAAAUCCUUGUGUUCACUUUAUUUUUCGUUUCGGUCAAUUUACUUGUAGUCAUAUCGGAGUUCUCGAAUCGAUCCUUUCCGCAACAGUACCACUCUUUAUUUUUUUCCUUCGCUUUCACUGGGAAUUUCUCUGCCACAAGUCGAGAUUUCAUUUCUAAGUAAUUUGUUUUCCUUCUUUACUGGUACGUUUGUGGAUAAUAUUUCAUUUGCCUUGAUAUUUUUAAUGAUAUUUUUUUAACUGAUUCAUUGGCGAGAAGAGAAGUUCUUCUUUUUCUUCUUCUUCUUCUUGUAAAUUUCUUGUUAAUUUUGAAAGAAAAAUUCUGAGUGGUGGUUGUGCAAGUUGACUUCAUUGGAUUAUUAAAGGUUCUUAUUGUUAUUGUUAUGUAUAGAGAGAUUACAUGUACUAAAGAAUGGUUUUGGUUUUGC